AGACCGUGGACUACCCUGUGUGGUCUUGGUUUGCCUUGCCAUUUUUUGCUGGUCUUUGUUAGGUAUUGGUUUACCUUGCCUUCUUCACUGAUCAACAUUUGCUGUGACUUUAUAGAGAGAAAUGUACCAAAGAACUUCUGGUGGUGUUCCAGUAGCUUCUUGCCGCUCCUGUGGACUCAAGCAGAUAGGCAAAGCCUCAAGGUUUCUUCUGGAUCGAACUGCCAUUGGACUUCCGCUGCUGAUUCGUGUGAACUGAACUGCUGAUAUCCUGACAAUUUUCCAUUAUCCUCUGCCUUCAAAACCACUCAAAGGAUGGACCAAGGAAAGUUCCCACAGACUGAAGUGGGCAGUGGGCAGCACCAGGAACAGCAGCCCAAGAUGGAACUGGAUGCAAUCCUGCAGCUCAACGCCAAGGAGAGGACUUUUGGCUCCGCCCCUGUGCCCCAGAGAAGCCCCGCAGCUUCUAGGAAGGAGGAAGUCCGGUCUUGCUCAUCUCUUAUCUCUCAUCCUGCUCAGGGAAUGUCAUUUCCGUUGAGUUUAAAUUUGAGAUUGCUGAACGGCAAAUAAUAACGGUGAUUUAGGUUCGGUAAUCACACUUUGAAUAUGGUAGACUGGUUUAUAACACAGAAUCUUAGGUAAAAUAAUCUUGGAAGAAAACGCACACCCACGUCCAUCCCAGUGCCGUAUCUUAAGUCAAAUUAAAGAGGAACACACUGCCAGAGUCAGAAAUGUUGUGUUGCCAUCAUGCUGUGAAUGCUGGUGUUGGGUAGGGCGGGCAGCGACAAAAGCCUGCUUUUCCUGCCUCGUCCCUGUUCCAAAAGUCACUUGGCACACUUGAGGCAUUUGUUACCAUAGCAGCCAGACCCUUGGAACCCGUUUGCGGUUGUACUUCCAUUUACUGUGGUUUAUAACAGAACACCUGAGACUGAGUACAUUAUAAAGCAUACGGGUUUGGCUAAUGGUCCUAGAAAAGUGGGCGUCCAAGAGUGUGAUAUGAGCAUUCAGUGUGAGUUUCACAUGCUGCGCCUUCCCACCGUGCUAUACAAAGAACAAGAGAGGCCCAGUUCCUGUAACUAGCCAAAUCGUGGAAAUGACCUUAGUCCACGUAGGAGUGCAGUGUUCUUAUACUCUAAUAAAGGCGAUUAAAACUCAGUGUGAAGUUUUAGAGUGACCAUUCAGAUCACAGCACUUCCCCUGACGUGAAAUAGAGGAAGAGGGAGAGGGGAAUGUGGGUGCAUGUGGCAGGAACUCAUCCUAUCCACAGUAAAAGAAGGAAGAGCAAUAAGACGUCUGGGGGUCUUUUUGACCGUGAUAGGUGAAGUAAAGGGAGAUGUUUGAUAUUAGAGAAAGCAUAUGAAUGUUUUUGAAUUUGUUAAAAAGGUAAGAUGAGAAACAAUGAAACAAAAUCAAAGAGAGAAAAGAAUCUGAGUUGAGGUCAGCAAUAGCGGAGACCGGUGCAGUGUUUCCAAUCAAUGGCCAUGGUGGAUUGUCAAAUUCCUUGUCUGGCCUCAGUGGGAGAGGAAGCGCCUAGCCUCAAAGAGGCUUGAACUGGGGGGAGGGGGGGGGAAUACUCAGAGGAACCCCACCCGCUCAGAGAAAGAGAGGAAAGGGGAUGGAGGAAGGAUUGUGGAGGGGAGGAGGUGACCGGGAACAGUGAGCUGAAUGUAAAGUGAGUAAGUAAAAAGUAUAAUUAAAAAUUAAAAUUAAAAUUAAAAAAUCCUCAACAGUCUACGCCACUAGGUGGCGAUGUAGAACAGCUGAAGCACUGGCAGCCGAUGAGUUGGCCUUUGUGGCAUGCUCUGUCCACCCACCAUGAAAGAUUCCAGUUUCUAUAUUCCGCUUGGAUGCAUUUUAACAUUAAAUGCAAUUUGUCAGUGUUUAUUAUAAUUGUUCAAAACGAUGGCCCAAAACAAUGGGUGUUUUAACCGUCUCUGACGGAUUGGUUUUCCCCCAAUUGUUUAAAAUUUUACAUUUUUACCUCACACCUGUUUGUUUGUUUCACUUCUUAGGAACUUGACACGACUCCUGACUUGGAAAUUUCAUUCUAGACAAGUAUUUCCUACCAAAACGAUAAGGAGAUAAGAGCAAGGGAAUCGUAGACAAAUCCUAUCAGACCCCGAGGAAUCAAACAAGAUUCUCUGCAAACACUUAAUAAUCGCAUGCGCAUCCUGUUUCCGGGACUUCCCAGGCGCAGGCAUUGUGAGCCUUCCAGGCAGCUCCUCAGAGGCCCUGGGGCAGCACGUGUGACGAAAGCAAGGAAGGGCUGCUGACGUCAGGACUGGAGAAGUCCCAGAUUUCCUCCCCAACAGUCAAGAGUCAAGGCUUCGGAGAUCGUGACCGUGAACCGCCGCAGGCGGGAUAAAACACAGUGCAGUACGGUUACGUCGGUGUUGCCGAUAAAGAGACAGAACAAAUAAUGCUUAGUGUGAGUGCAUCUCAAACACUGCCCAGCAUUCACUUCGACUAAAGGAUUAGUCGUCAUUUCUCUGAAGUUCGAAAUUAACUGAACUUUCUGUCUGUGCUUUUAGUUGUUGGAUAUGGUAAAACGGAGAGCCUUCGCUGUCCCCAUCUGAUUGGUUCGCUUUCCUUAUUAAACGCAGCUUCCCCAUGACCACUUACAUUUUAUAAAUAUAUGUGCCGGACCAUUCUGAACUUGUUGCUGCUCUAAGCCUGGCAGGUCUGAAGACACAGGACUUCAGUGUCGGCCUUUGCUUGGGUGACAGUUUCGUGGGAGCACAUGCACAGGAAAUCACCCAGAGAGACAGAAAGCAAGAGCCCUGAAGGGACUUUUAAAGUACCCUCUUCCUGAGAGAAAUCAUUUAUACCUGUCACGUCUGACAUCUCCCAAGACACAGCAGGCGACAUUCACGAGAGUGGUAUCCCCAUGACCUGUGCACCUCCACCAGGCUUCCCUUAACCCACCUCUACCGUCCUGACAGAGAAACCCUGAAAACCAAGCUUCUGGCACAUAAACUUUGGAAUACAAACCAGAUCUAAAUCAUGGUGUUUACCCCAUUUCCUUCCAUUGGUGGCUAAUUCAGCAAACACAUUGGAAUGAGUAAUUUCUGAGGACACAAACCUGAAAGCUCUGGUCUUCCUGUGAAACGCCUAACAGUGGGAACAGGGCUCUCUCUGACUCUGUCGCCUGCCUUUGGGUCCCUUUCCUCCUCCUGGGCUGUCUUGUUUAGCCUUAAUAGGAGAGGAGGUGCCUUGUCUUACUGCAACUUGCUAUGCCACGGCCAUUUAAUAUCCAUGGGAGAACUACACUUUUCUAAAGCGAAAUAGAGGAGUGUGUGUGUGUGUGUGUGUGUG